rnacentral:ncRNA from 2 species
CAAUCCCAUAGAUUUCAAGGUGUUCCUUUACGGAACUUAAAAGGGAAAGAGGUGAAAAUCCUCUGCAGCCCCCGCUACUGUGAGUAGGGAUGAAAUCUUCCGUAAACCACUGGGCAACUGGGAAGGGGAAGAGAGUAAGAUGAACUACGAGCCAGGAGACCUGCCUUGAAAGCUGUAGGCUU